rnacentral:rRNA from 1 species
CCUACGGGAGGCAGCAGUGGGGAAUAUUGCACAAUGGGGGAAACCCUGAUGCAGCGACGCCGCGUGAGUGAAGAAGUAUUUCGGUAUGUAAAGCUCUAUCAGCAGGGAAGAAAAUGACGUUACCUGACUAAGAUGCCCCGGCUAACUACGUGCCAGCAGCCGCGGUAAUACGUAGGGGGCAAGCGUUAUCCGGAUUUACUGGGUGUAAAGGGAGCGUAGACGGCAGAACAAGUCUGGAGUGAAAUGCCGGGGCUUAACCCUGGAAGUGCUGUGGAAACCGGUGCGCUGGAGUGCAGGAGAGGUAAGCGGAAUUCGUAGUGUAGCGGUGAAAUGCGUAGAUAUUAGGAGGAACACCAGUGGCGAAGGCGGCUUACUGGACUGUAACUGACGUUGAGGCUCGAAAGCGUGGGGAGCAAACAGGAUUAGAUACCCUUGUAGUC